rnacentral:ncRNA from 1 species
CGGGGACACGCAGUCUCCCCGCUAGACGGAGCUCCGUCCAAGCACUGC